UUUCUUUGAUGGAAUUAACAUAUUCAUCUGAAUACCAGACUCGCGCCAUCCAAUGAAACUACAUUAUUCGAAGAUGGCCACAUGUGUCCAGCAGAAGAGUUAUGAAUUUGUAAUGCUUUGAAGAUGUUAAUACGAAGAGAAGAAACAUCAUGUAGAAACAUCUUCCAGUGAUGAUGCCAACCUGAAUAGAUAAGAUGGUUCAAAUGCCAUGAGCUAAUAACUUUGGUAAAUGAUAUGUACUGUAGCACACAAACAAACAUAUAGGCUUAGACAGCAAAUACAUGCUUGCAGAAUAAUCAUUUUGCAAGCAAAAGGCAAACCAUAGUGAUGUUUUCAAAGCAAGUAGCUUACGACUACAUAUGGCAGCUGACAUUUAUUCCUACUGGCAUAUUUUCAAACUUCACAUGUGUAUCUAUACCAAUAUUAUUGUGGCUGGGUAUGAAUUCACGAACAUUCAUACCUUCAAAUAUAGUUCAAGCUAUGUAUAAACAUUAGAAAAGACUAGAGAUUUUUUCCUUUCACACAAUCAACUCAGGUACAGGCAUAAUGUGUAUAUAAUUAUGAAAGAUAGAUCAUACAGGACCAUGAAGAAAUUCUGGAAGCAAGAUGCAGUUGUUGUAAGAAUCAAAUGAAAAGCAAGGUUAUACAUUUAUUUGAAUGAAAGAUAACACAAUGCAUGGUGAAUUAGGAAAAUUAGCUAACAACACAGGCAAGCAUCAUAGAUAAGCAUUGUUUCAUGUUCAUACUCAAUAGGAUGAAGUAAGCAAAAGUAGUUUGAUUUUCACAUCUGAGUUCUGCUAUGAUAAUCCUUGAAUAUUUAGUAAGAGUCAUGACACUCAGAAGUUGAACUUCACAAAUUUGCACAAAAUACUAGAAUGUUGAGAUCCUGGAAUGAUUACGCCAUGACCAAAUUUGUGCAAAAAGCAAUGACUCGUAAGCAAAUUUUCUAUGCACAACUAAAAAAUGCCAUGCAGAUGUCCGUAGUGGCAGGACGUCGGUGUAUAAGUUAGUGGAUUAAUUAAACAAUGCAUUAGUGGGGAUGUGACGGUCAUAUGGUUCGUCUGCCUAGUCGUACAAGGACCAAAAUGCAUGGAUCCAUACGGGGUUUUUUAGAACAGCGACGCAUGCAUCAGCCUGUAUAUAUGUAUGGCUGAAUACCUGCUUAUGUACACAUACGUAUUUGGGUAUUUGUGCCACCGGCCGUCAUGCAUCUUUUGAUUCAGGCAUGGACACUGGUACGCCUGCGUUUUAUAUUUUGAUUAGUGUCAAACACACAGGCUCAAGCUAUACAGCACAAAUGAUACCUAGAUCUUGUAGAAGUUUCUCAGAAUAUCUAAUUUCCUGUAACAAUGUAGUUGCUGCAUUGUUUAUAAAGUUGAAAAGUAUACAGAAACUAUUAUGUAUCCGAUGGUAUGAAAGUUGAAGCAUGAUUUAUGGCACCGAUGUGAACGUACAUAACUCCAAGCAAAUAUUUGAACAAACUAGUGGCGUAAAUGCAGUAACAAACUCUGUCUCUCCCUUUCACUGAUAAUUUAAAUACAAAAACUAAAAAUUUGCACUCAACCAAUGGCAUUGACAUCCAGAAAAACCAGAGGCCAUGGUCGCUUUUUGAAAUAGCCCCCAGUUAAGAGGAGAAAGUAUAUGUAUUUCGAAUAAAAUUAUGCAAAGAAUGACUUACACACAUGUAAACCUUUGCUCCCAAGUCCCACCAUCAGUCCAUUAAAAAGGAUUUCCUGAAAGAAA
rnacentral:lncRNA from 1 species